CCUACGGGAGGCAGCAGUGGGGAAUAUUGCGCAAUGGGCGAAAGCCUGACGCAGCGACGCAGCGUGAGGGAUGAAGGCCUUCGGGUUGUAAACCUCUUUCAGCGGGGACGAAGCGAAAGUGACGGUACCCGCAGAAGAAGCACCGGCUAACUACGUGCCAGCAGCCGCGGUAAUACGUAGGGUGCAAGCAUUGUCCGGAUUUAUUGGGCGUAAAGAGCUCGUAGGCGGCUUGUCACGUCGGGUGUGAAAACUUGGGGCUCAACCCCAAGCCUGCACUCGAUACGGGCUAGCUAGAGUGUUGCAGGGGAGACUGGAAUUCCUGGUGUAGCGGUGAAAUGCGCAGAUAUCAGGAGGAACACCGGUGGCGAAGGCGGGUCUCUGGGCAACUACUGACGCUGAGGAGCGAAAGCGUGGGGAGCGAACAGGAUUAGAUACCCUGGUAGUCCACGCCGUAAACGGUGGGCGCUAGGUGUGGGGAACCUUCCACGUUCUCUGUGCCGCAGCUAACGCAUUAAGCGCCCCGCCUGGGGAGUACGGCCGCAAGGCUAAAACUUAAAGGAAUUGACGG
rnacentral:rRNA from 1 species